rnacentral:snRNA from 1 species
GUGCUUGCUUUGGCAGCACACGUACUAAAACUGGAACGCUACAGAGAAGAUUAGCAUGGCCCCUGUGCAAGGAUGACAUGCAAAUUCGUGAAGGGUUCCAUUAAAAA